rnacentral:tRNA from 1 species
GAAGAUGUAGCUCAAAUGGUAGAGUGCUUGCUUAGCAUGCAAAAGGUAUGAGGAUUGAUAUCCUGCAUCUCCA